CCAUUCGCUUUUUGCACCAGAAAAGAGCCAUUUUCUCUGUGUAUCUCGUCCCCGCUUCUUGUCCAAACGUGGGGAUGGAUGGAAGCUUCUGCGACGCCUCCGGGGCAAUGGUAAUUGACUGCAAACGUGUCUGCGUCUCACCAUUCUAAUCACUUCUUUCGGUCCACAAGAUGAGCCUGGCUCGGCGCCUAACUCAUUUUCAAUUCCUU
ensembl:ncRNA K02B2.37 ncRNA